rnacentral:tRNA from 1 species
ACCUGGCUGGCUCGGUCGGUAGAGCAUGCGACUCUUGAUCUCGAGAUUCUGAGUUCAAGCCCCAUGCUAGGUG